GUCCACACUGUAACGUUGAUGACUCGAUGUUGGCGAUACACAGCCAGCGUCCAAGAGCAAUCGUUAAGUCAUCCACCUGGGAGUACGCCGGCAACGGUGAACUCAAAGGAAUUGACGGGGUCCGCACAAGCGGUGGAGCAUGUGGUUUAAUUCGAUGAUACGCGAGGAACCUUACCUGGGCUAGAAUGCCCUUGACGGGUACAGAGAUGUAUCGUUCCGCAAGGACAAGGAGCAAAGGUGCUGCAUGGCUGUCGU
rnacentral:rRNA from 1 species